CUGUGCAUAUUUUUGCUGAUCUAAGUUUGUAAUAUCAGGACAGGCUAAACAUUCACUACACAAAGACCAUGCACGUGUCCCCAGUCCUAAUUCUUUCACUAGGUCUGGUUUUUAAAAUGCUGGUAAUAUAU
ensembl:snoRNA SNORA72 Small nucleolar RNA SNORA72